UACGGAGGGUGCAAGCGUUAAUCGGAAUUACUGGGCGUAAAGGGCGCGUAGGUGGUUACUUAAGUCGGAUGUGAAAGCCCCGGGCUUAACCUGGGAAUUGCAUUUGAUACUGGGUGACUAGAAUGUGGUAGAGGGUAGCGGAAUUUCUGGUGUAGCGGUGAAAUGCGUAGAGAUGUGGAGGAAUACCGAAGGCGAAGGCAGCCCCUUGGGAAUGAACUGACGCUCAUGUGCGAAAGCGUGGGGAGCAAACAGG
rnacentral:rRNA from 1 species